GAUGAACGCUGGCGGCGUGCCUAACACAUGCAAGUCGAGCGGCAGCGCGGGGUGCUUGCACCCUGUCGGCGAGCGGCGGACGGCUGAGUAACGCGUGGGAACGUGCCCCAAAGUGAGGAAUAACUGCCCGAAAGGGUAGCUAAUACCGCAUAUUAUCUUCGGAUCAAAGGAUUUAUCCGCUUUGGGAGCGGCUCGCGUCGGAUUAGGUAGUUGGUGAGGUAAUGGCUCACCAAGCCGACGAUCCGUAGAUGGUCUGAGAGGAUGACCAGCCAGACUGGAACUGGGACACGGUCCAGACUCCUACGCGAGGCAGCAGUGAGGAAUCUUCCACAAUGGGCGAAAGCCUGAUGGAGCAACGCCGCGUGAAGGACGAAGGCCUUCGGGUUGUAAACUGCUUUUAUAAGUGAGGAAUAUGACGGUAACUUAUGAAUAAGGAUCGGCUAACUACGUG
rnacentral:rRNA from 1 species